UACGGAGGGUGCAAGCGUUGUUCGGAAUCACUGGGCGUAAAGGGCGUGUAGGCGGUCCGCUAAGUCUGAUGUGAAAGCCCGGGGCUCACCCCCGGAAGUGCAUUGGAAACUGGUGGACUCGAGUCCCGGAGAGGAGGGUGGAAUUCCUGGUGUAGCGGUGAAAUGCGUAGAUAUCAGGAGGAACACCGGUGGCGAAGGCGGCCCUCUGGACGGUGACUGACGCUGAGACGCGAAAGCGUGGGGAGCAAACAGG
rnacentral:rRNA from 1 species